AAGACUUCAAAAGUUGUAUCAGUACAGGCCCUGGUCUCAGGGGAGUCAUGGGGAGCCAGACUGAUAGCUCACUGUAAACGGUGAGAUUUGAUCCAACCGAAACAGGUUAUUAUUCCAGGGGCCAGUUAUUGAAACUCACUGCAGCUGAUUGGCUAAUUACUGACGCAGGCGAUGAUUUACCACACCAAUCAAAGCGCUCCGUCCAGUUACCGUCCAGCACAACAGAAAACCCCUUAACAGAACAAAGCAAAGAUGUAUUUUACGGCAUGGUUGGGAUUGUUUCUGGUACAAUACUUGUGGUGCUGUGUGUUGGCCUGUAUUGCUGGUGGAAUGUAGAACUUUAUCCUGCCGUGAGUUUCAGAAAUAUUUCCUAUAAAACAAGAGCGUGAAAAUACGGAUGUGUAUACAAAAAUGUAAAACUUUUGACUCUGUGUUCCGCAGAGAUAUGUUUUAGAAAGUGCUGAAGCUUUGUCGUUCAGACUAAGUACAUUCUAGAACAUCUUGAAUUAGCUUUGUCGUUCAGACUAGGUACAUUCUAGAACAUCUUGAAUUAGCUUUGUCGUUCAGACUAGGUACAUUCUAGAACAUCUUGAAUUAGCUUUGUCGUUCAGACUAGGUACAUUCUAGAACAUCUUGAAUUAGCUUUGUCGUUCAGACUAGGUACAUUCUAGAACAUCUUCAAUUAGCUUUAUCGUUCAGACUAGGUACAUUCUAGAACAUCUUGAAU